rnacentral:lncRNA from 1 species
UACCACUGAUUUUACCAUACUCAGCGUACGGUUUGUUUCCGUGCACAAGUUAAGUAAAGAUAGUACGUUGAAUCAGCAUCCCAAGACGAUCCCGAAUUCAUUAAGGUAACGUAUGUUGAGUAUUGAUAAUGGCAUGUACCCAGGAUGUUUAAUGAGAGUCAUUUAGGUUGUAAAAGUAUUGAUGAAAUGAAUAAAUUAUGGUUGGCAACGGUAUGUAGUAUGAAUUUUGAAAUUUACUAAAAAUUCGUAAUGAUUCUAAAUUAGUCCCGAAUUGAAUUUAUUGUUCAUAUUGGACCACGAGGGCCCAUUAAAGGGACGACAUCUUAAAACUAGGAUGUGUGUGAAUAUUUAUUUUAAUUAAUGACCGAAAUUGGACUGUACUGACUGGUAAUGUCUCGUAACCCUGUUCUGGUGACGGUAUAGGGUUAGGGGACAUUACAAAUUAGUGGUAUCAGAGCUAUUCAGGUUUAACCGAUUCUCGGACUAAAUCGAGCUCGGAAUUGAGUCUAGAGGUACAUGCCAUAAUUGAGUCGAAAUUGAGUCGGGAUCGGAUGCUGAUAUAUUUGUUUGGUACUGUUUUAUAGUGAAAAUGUUAGAGGAAAAUAUUGAUGGUAUUGAUUAUGAAAUGUGUACUGGAGACGAAUAGUCGUGAAUUAGAUGAAAACUGAAUCAACAACACUGGGUAUAAACUCAAUGGGUAAUUAAUUAUUGAAUAAUGACUGAUGAAAUAAUAGAAAAAGAAAUGAUAAAUAAUUAUUUAGAAUUAUAACUGAUGUUCUUCAGUGAGUAGAAGAAAUUGUAUCUGCUACAGUAUCUAUCCCUCCUGUUUCUUACUCGGUUCCCGAAGUGCUUCAAGGUAUAGAGCUUGUCUGAACGGGUAAGUUAUCUGCUGUUAAUGAUCUGUACAUGUAUAUAUAUAGUGUGGAUGAAUUGAGAAUUACAGUUGAGAAUGAUCUUGAAAGAACUGAAAUCUGGUUAGAGAAUAUUAUCGGGAUUGUAAAUGAAUUGUUCUGUUCACCGAUUAAAUGUUAGAAGGGUAUGAUAUUUCUGUUAAAAGAUUUAGGUUAUCAAUGGUAGAAAAAUUGAUUAUGUUGUGAUUAAGAAAGGGUUAUUUGGAAAUUUUCUGAGAUGAGUUCUGAAAGAAAUAUAUAUAUAUCAGUCAGAGAUUUCUUGAUUAGAAACAUACAGAAUUCUUGAAGCUUAAACAGGAUCAUAUAACUGCAACUGUGUAUGAAGGGAAUUUGUUUGAUUAAAUAAAUAUAUCAGAGGGUAUAUUCCGAUAGAAACUGUAUGAUACAAAUGGUUUGAAGAUGGUUUAAAUGAAGACAGAAGCUGAAGAAUAUAGAAUAAGGAAUGGAAUAUGUGUUGGACAUGAUUCUCCUAAUUAUUAUCUUAGCGAUUGCUUGAAGAAAAUUGAAAAAAAACAUUAUUCAGAGUUCAAGAACGAGUAAUGUAGUUAACAGAGGUAGGUUACCCUGUAAUCUCAGAAAUACGAGUGAAAGCCGAAGUGUGACAAAUGACUUCACUGUAAAAUCUGGAGAAUGAACAUCAGCCAGGGUAUAUGUUAAUUGUAUAUGAGAAGAUUUAUCUCUACCGGAUGUCAUUACAGGUACUUUCUUCUUUAUCGACACUAAUAUGAUUAUUUUAAAUUGAUCUUGGUUUGACUAUUCCUAUGAUUACAUAAGUUCAGUAUCUAUUAAAGAUUUGUCUGUUGAGUUUGCUGAAAUUUUUGGAUUGAAGCAUUAAAUUUUUCAGAUUAGUAUUUAUGGGCUGAUAAGAUCUGCAGGAACUGUUUGAUAAUGAUACUACUGUUUUCUGAUCGAUUUGAUGUUCUUACUGUUUGAUAUAAUCUCAAUAAUGGAAUGGUUAAUUCUGCAUGAUAUGGUGGUAAAUUAUAAGCAGAAGUAUAAUAUGUUGCAAGAUCAAGAUGAUGAAAUGUUUUGUUGAAUUAGAGAAGAUUGAGCUAAUUGUCUAUUGUGAUAUAGAACAUGCCAACCCAGAUAUAUGCCGGAAAGGGGUCAUGGUAUUUACCUUGUUUAUGUAUUGAAUAUUAAAAUAUUUAAGUUAAGGUUUAAAUCAAUGGCAAUAGUGCAAGAGAAUUCUAAUGUGUUUCCAGAAGAGUUGCCCGAACUACUGUUGAUUGAAGAAGUUGAAUGUGCUAUAGAUUUUGUAACUGAAAUGAUAGUGAAAAAUAUAUUUGAAAUCAGAGGUUUUCUAAAACUAGUCGGUUAUUACAGAAAGAUAUGGAAUUGGAAUGAUCUGAUAGACGUUAGCAAGGUUCUGAUUAGUUGAAAGCUCAGUUAACUGAAGCACUAGUUCUGGUUCAAUCUGAAAUCCGAUAAAGAAACUUGUGAUUUACAUGAUAGCAGUGUUUUGAUGCAAAAAAAGAAAGAAAGUGAAGUAAUGGUUUAUGUUACGAAAUGUUAGAAUCACAUGGGAAGAAUUAUUUGAUACCUGAUUCGGAAGUGGUAGUUAUUAUUCUUGCAUUAAAAGAUCAAGAUAUGAUAAUUAAUUAUCAUCCGAAAAAGACAAAUGAAUGUAUGUAUAUUCAAAUUGAAAGCUUUGUUUUGUGUUAUGAGCUAUGAACAUCUGACUGUUAUCAUUUGAAGAUGGAUCAAUUUUGGUAGAGAUAAAAAAAAAUUAAACCGACUUCUUUACAGCAGAUCUGCGAAGCUCAGAAAUGUAGUAAUGAGUUAUCGGUUAAAUGGAUAUAGUAUACAGAUGAUUUCUGAUUAAACAUUUCGAAUUGGAUAUGAUGGUUGUUUGCUAUUUAGAAAUAAAAGCUGAAUAGAGGGAUUCAGAACUUAUACAGGAGAAUUUGCAUGAAAUUAUAGUAGUACUAUGUCUAUGCAUUCUGGAAGAAUAAGAUGUACAAUGAUUUGAGACAGAUGUAUUGAAGACUGGGAAAAGAAAAGCAAUACUUUGAAUUUGCAUAUAAAUGUUUAUAUUAGGUACAGAUAUCUUCAGAACUGUUACAACCAGUGGUGAUAUCAAAAUGGAAAUGGGAUAUAAUUUCUAUGAGUUUGAAUUGGAAUUAUCUCUAUUUUUGAAAAAGAAUAUGCGGAGCUGUUUGAUUCGUGAAAUUGAAGAAAAGUGCAAGUAAUUCAAAACAGAUUGAAAGCAACUUUUGAUAGACAGAAAUUGUAUGUAGAUUUAAAAUGUCGGGAUUUCGAGCAUUCUGCCAGUGAUGCGGUAUUUCUUAAAGUUUCACAUCGGAAGAAAACUUUGAGAUUGGGAUGAAAAAGGGAAAUUGAAUUCUCGUUCUGUUGGGCCAUGUAAAAUUUCGAAAAAAAAAAGUCAGACUGGUAAUAUAUUAUUGGGUUUUACUUCCAAAAUUACAAGAAAUUUAUGGGGAUUAUCAGGAUUUGGUGCUCAAAAGAUGUAAAUCAGAUCUUUUACAUGUUAUAUCGACAAAGGAUAUUGAGAUUUGACGCAAUCUAUUGUAUGAGAAAGAGCCGGUUGAGAUACUAGCCUGAGCGGUAAUGUCAUAAUAUUGAGGAAACAAUACGGGAACCGAAAGAAACAGUGAGAUCACUGAACCCCCACCUCUCUUUUAGGCAAAUUUCGAGGACGAAAUUUCUUAAGGGGGAGAGAAUUGUAGUGACUCGAAUUUUACCGUUACCGAAAAAGUGUAUUUUCGGGUCUCCGUUUCUGAAAAAUGGAUUCGUAAAUAUUUAUUAAAAAUAUUUACAAAGUAAAAUGAGUGGUUAAUUAGAGUUUAAUUAAGUGAAUUUAAUUUAAUUAAGAGUAAUUAAGUAAAAGGACCAAAUUGAAUAAAGUGUGAAAGUUGAAUUAUAGAUUAAAAAUAAAAAAGGACUAAAAGGGCAAUUAUACAAAAAGUAUAAAUUGAGGCGUUUUAUCGUGAAGAAAAUCUAAGAUUUUUUUUUAUGUUUAGUAUAUUAUUAUAUUAUAUUAUAUUAUAUUAUAUUAUAUUAUAUUAUAUUAUAUUAUAUUAUAUUAUAUUAUAUUAUAUUAUAUUAUAUUAUAUUAUAUAUAUAAACUAAAGAAGCAAAUGAAAGGAGAUAGAAACAGAAUGAAACAAAACAGAGAGCAGGGGAGAAAAAGAAAGAAAGAAGGGGAGAAACGGGAAAAUUGAAGGUUUGAAGCUUUAAGCUUUAAUAGGUAAGUCAAUCAAGCCCUUUUUACUUAAUUUUGAUGUUUUAGAAGUUUUAGAACAAAGUUUUGAUGAAAUUAAGUUGAUAUUUUGAUAGUUAUUAGAUUUCUAGAUAUUGUCCAUGUUAAAUAAAAUGAUGAAUUAAGGGCUAAAUUGAUAGAAAUUCAAGUUAAAAAUGAUACAAGGAUUGAAUUGUAAAGUGAUCCAUAAGUUUUAUGCUUUAAGGACUAAAUUGAAAGAGUUUCGAAAUUAUGGUUUUAUGAUGAAAAAUAGAUAAUUAUGUCUAAGUUUGGUUAAAAAUUGAGUAGAAAUAAAGUAUGAAUUAAGAUAGAAAAGUAAGUGAAUUUAGUUAGAAUUAAAUUGAAAUUAAAGUAAAUCAACAUUUUGUACUAAGACUAUUUUGGACAGCAGCAGUAGUCUAAGUUUAAAAAAUCACCAAAAAUUGUAGAAAUUAAAUUAGAGGAUGAAUAAAAUAUGGAAUUAAAUAUUAUUGAGUCUAGUUUCUUAUAGAAUAAACAAUAUAAUCAAUUGAAUUGUAAAUUAUGAGAUAUAAUGAAUUUUGUGAGACAAGGUCAGAAUGAAUUCGGGUUCCCAUGUUCUGAAUUUGGAAAAUCACCAAAAAUUGAAGAAAAAUAAUUAGAGGCUUAAAGUUAUAUUUUUAGAAUCCCUAAUGAGUCUAUUUUCAGGAGAAAUCAACAGGAAUAUUAUCCGAGUUCUGUACUGUGAGAUAAUUAAUUUUUAGUGAAGAAGGGACGAAACUGCCAGACAGCAGAAUAGGGGUGAAUUUAAAGAAUAAACUGUACUUAAUGACUAAACCAAAAAUUCUGAAAAUUUUAUUGUAAGAAGAUUUGUGAGUCUAAUUUCAGGAAAAAUUAGCGGAUCUUAAUUUAGAAUUCUGUAACUCAAUUUAUGAAUUAGUAAUGUAUUAAUGAUUAUGAAUUGUAUUAAUUUCGUAGUCAAUGUGGUACCGGAAAUCUCGGCUAAGAAAGGACAAGACAAAGUCAACGGGAGUUAGCUCGAAAAUUACGGUUUGUAUUUCUAUAAUCUGAACUUAGUUAUUAUUUUUUAUAUUUAUAUACAUAUGACAAUUGUUAGUGUUAGAAUUAUGAUGUUUUACAAUUGGAAUGGAUUGAUUUUGGUAUGCGAUGAAUUUAUUGAAUUUAUAUUGAUUGAAAUUAUUUUGAUUGAAUUUAUAUUGAUUUAAUUAUAUAAUAUAUAUGAUUUAUGUAGAAAUUUGAAUAUUGAAUGAAUGUUAUAUUGAAAAAUAUAUUGAUUGGAAAUAUGAGGAAAUUGAUAUGAAUAUAUGAGAUUGUGAUAUUUGAAUAUUUGAUAUUGAAAAGUGAAUUGAAUUGUAUUGAAUUAUGAAUUAAUGUGAAUAAUUGAAAUAUAUUGUUGAAUCGAAUGAAAUUGUAUGAAUUGUGAAAAUGGGUGAAUAUAUGUGAUUAUCAGAAUGGUAUAUUGAUGAAAGAAUUAUUAAAUUGAGAAAGUGAAUGAAAUACCCUAUUAACUAGUCGGGCUGAGUCGGAUAUAAUUGGCAUGCCAUAAGAUCUGGAAGUGUACGGGAUUUGCCGGCUUUAUCGAUCAGGCACUUUAUGUGUCUUAUUUUAGGCACCUCGUGUGUCGUAUCAGGCACCUCGUGUGUCGUUUUAGGCACUUUAUGUGUCGUAUACUGAUCAGGUACUAUGUACCGUUUUAGGCACAAUGUGCCGUACUGGUGUGUUUGGGUUGGAAUCCGUGUAUCCUUCAAAGUCUGGGUUUGUUAAUAGGGGUAAAUAAGUGAAAGAUAAAUCGAAUAAAUUUGAUUGAUCAAGCUAUUGAAAUGAAACGAGAAAUUGAAUUGAGAAUUGAAAAUUUAGUUAUUAAAUUGAAAAUAUGAACCAAAGGUUCAUGAAAUGAUUGGAGUUCGAAUUAAUGAUAUAUGAUGCCACUUGAUGAAUUGAAAUGUGAUUUGAGAUAUAUGAAUCGUAUGUAUAUAUUGAAAGCUAUCAGGGAUAGUAAGUUGAUAUGAUAUAAAUGAAAUUGACAGUUAUUGAAAUGAAUUAAAAUGGAAUAUGAUUGAUAAGUGUAUAGUUGAAUAUAGUUUAAUGAUAUUGAAUUGUGAGUAAAUUAAGGAAAGCUAUACCGAGUAGUAAGUGAAAGAAUGGUGUAAAUAAUAAUGGAUUUAGUUAAGAAUUGAACAAUUAUGUUAUUGUGUUUAUUAUAUGAUUUGUAUAAAAUUUAUAUGGUAAGUAGUUGAAAUUUAUCUAUGAAUAAAUAAUUGAAUAAUUGUAAUUGUUAUUAUGAUCUUAAGUAUUUGUUAUAUUAUUAAAUGUUCGGAUUAUAGAAAUACCACUGAGUAUACCAUACUCAGCGUACGGUUUGUUUCCGUGCGCAGGUUAAGUAAAGAUAGUACGUUGAAUCAGCAUCCCAAGACGAUCCCGAAUUCAUUAAGGUAAAGUAUGUUGAGUAUUGAUAAUGGCAUGUACCCAGGAUGUUUAAUGAGAGUCAUUUAGGUUGUAAAAGUAUUGAUGAAAUGAGUAAAUUAUGGUUGGCAACGGUAUGUAGUAUGAAUUUUAAAAUUUACUAAAAAUUCGUAGCGAUUCUAAAUUAGUCCCGAAUUGAAUUUACUGUUCAUAUUGGAC